UGGGGAAUUUUGGACAAUGGGCGAAAGCCUGAUCCAGCAAUGCCGCGUGUGUGAAGAAGGCCUUCGGGUUGUAAAGCACUUUUGUCCGGAAAGAAAUCCUUGGCUCUAAUACAGUCGGGGGAUGACGGUACCGGAAGAAUAAGCACCGGCUAACUACGUGCCAGCAGCCGCGGUAAUACGUAGGGUGCAAGCGUUAAUCGGAAUUACUGGGCGUAAAGCGUGCGCAGGCGGUUUGCUAAGACCGAUGUGAAAUCCCCGGGCUCAACCUGGGAACUGCAUUGGUGACUGGCAGGCUAGAGUAUGGCAGAGGGGGGUUAGAAUUCCACGUGUAGCAGUGAAAUGCGUAGAGAUGUGGAGGAAUACCGAUGGCGAAGGCGAGCCCCCUGGGCCAAUACUGACGCUCAUGCACGAAAGCGUGGGGGAGCAAAACAGGAUUUAGAUACCCCUGGUAGUCCACGCCCUAAAACGAUGUCAACUAGUUGUUGGGGGAUUCAUUUCCUUAGUAACGUAGCUAACGCGUGAA
rnacentral:rRNA from 1 species